rnacentral:rRNA from 1 species
AGUCGAGCGGUAGAGAGAAGCUUGCUUCUCUUGAGAGCGGCGGACGGGUGAGUAAUGCCUAGGAAUCUGCCUGGUAGUGGGGGAUAACGUUCGGAAACGGACGCUAAUACCGCAUACGUCCUACGGGAGAAAGCAGGGGACCUUCGGGCCUUGCGCUAUCAGAUGAGCCUAGGUCGGAUUAGCUAGUUGGUGAGGUAAUGGCUCACCAAGGCGACGAUCCGUAACUGGUCUGAGAGGAUGAUCAGUCACACUGGAACUGAGACACGGUCCAGACUCCUACGGGAGGCAGCAGUGGGGAAUAUUGGACAAUGGGCGAAAGCCUGAUCCAGCCAUGCCGCGUGUGUGAAGAAGGUCUUCGGAUUGUAAAGCACUUUAAGUUGGGAGGAAGGGUUGUAGAUUAAUACUCUGCAAUUUUGACGUUACCGACAGAAUAAGCACCGGCUAACUCUGUGCCAGCAGCCGCGGUAAUACAGAGGGUGCAAGCGUUAAUCGGAAUUACUGGGCGUAAAGCGCGCGUAGGUGGUUUGUUAAGUUGGAUGUGAAAUCCCCGGGCUCAACCUGGGAACUGCAUUCAAAACUGACUGACUAGAGUAUGGUAGAGGGUGGUGGAAUUUCCUGUGUAGCGGUGAAAUGCGUAGAUAUAGGAAGGAACACCAGUGGCGAAGGCGACCACCUGGACUAAUACUGACACUGAGGUGCGAAAGCGU